rnacentral:rRNA from 1 species
UACGUAGGGUGCGAGCGUUGUCCGGAAUUAUUGGGCGUAAAGAGCUCGUAGGCGGUUUGUCGCGUCUGCUGUGAAAACCCGAGGCUCAACCUCGGGCCUGCAGUGGGUACGGGCAGACUAGAGUGCGGUAGGGGAGAUUGGAAUUCCUGGUGUAGCGGUGGAAUGCGCAGAUAUCAGGAGGAACACCGAUGGCGAAGGCAGAUCUCUGGGCCGUAACUGACGCUGAGGAGCGAAAGCUAGGGGAGCGAACAGG